rnacentral:rRNA from 1 species
GAUGAACGCUGGCGGCGUGCCUCAAACAUGCAAGUCGAGCGGGGCUAUGUAAUAUCGCAAGGUAGAACAUAGCCUAGCGGCGAACGGGUGAGUAACACGUGGGUAACCUGCCUGGAAGACAGGGAUAACGAUUCGAAAGGGUCGCUAAUACCUGAUAAUAUCCUUUCAUCGCAUGGUGAUAGGAAGAAAGGGGAAACCCCUUUCAGAUGGGCCCGCGUCCCAUCAGCUAGUUGGUAAGGUAAAGGCUUACCAAGGCGACGACGGGUAGCCGGUCUGAGAGGAUGUACGGCCACACUGGGACUGAGAUACGGCCCAGACUCCUACGGGAGGCAGCAGUUGGGAAUCUUAGGCAAUGGACGAAAGUCUGACCUAGCGAACGCCGCGUGAGGGAAGAAGGCCCUUGGUUGUAAACCUCUGUCAUGGGAAGAAGGAAGUGACGGUACCCCAAGAGAAGACCCCUGCUAACUACUGCCAGCAAGCCGCGGUAAGGAGUAGUACA